CCAUUCAUGCAAAUGACUUCCAUAUAUUAAUGAAGCGUUCUGAACCCUAUCCCCCUUCUCUGUGCAUCGUUGCUCCAGAUUGGGCAGCGACUGCGAGUUUGCCCAUGAUGUACCGAAGGCGAAGCAGCACCAACAGCACCAGCAUCUUCCGCAAUCUUUCUGCCCUAUCGUGACCUUCUGGUUUGUGGGUGGGCCGUCGUCAUCAACGCUUCCUCUCAGCUGGUGCGAGGCGGUCCCGCCGAGACGCACAUCAUACACACCGACGCCUUGGAACGGGGGACAUGCAAUGUGGAAGUCCUGCCGGGAGCCGAGCUAAUGUUAGCUUGUUGUUGUUGAUGUUCUUUGUUGUUGUUGUUGUUGUUGUUGUUGUAGUAUGAAUGGCGUGUACCAGCAUGCGCUGCUUAGGCGAUGUGCAUGUGUGUGUGCGUCGGAUGUUUUGUAACAAACCAGGCGUCGGCUCUCAUUCUAGUCAGAGAUCAUUCUAGGGUUGUCAAAAGAAGACAUGGCUGAAGGAAAGUCUGAUCAUAUUCAAAUGCAUUCCAUUCAUAAGAAGAACCUCGUAGUCCAAGUCUCAUUAUUCAAAGACUCAGGCUUCUGGAAGCCGUCGUGGCAUUUAGAUAAUUGAUGGUGACUUUGAAGCGUGCUGUUUAUAAUGAACCUGUGUGCGCGCUGUU